rnacentral:lncRNA from 1 species
AAAAAUCGACUGAAAUGGCCAAGUUAUUGGGUCCUCUUCCAAACUAUACCUUCAUUUUCCUAUCUUUCCUCCUCCUGGUUUACUCCGGUAAUUAAGCACUAUCUUUAUUCAUAUAUACAUCUAUUAAGCUGCAUAAAUGUUGUACGUUAGAUCAUAUUGAAAGUUAGAAAACUUGAAAGUUUUUUUUGGAACAACAGGGACGCAAAUGGUGGAAGCACAGGUUUGCUCGAGGCCAAGUCAAACAACGGGAGUAAUUACUUGUCCGAGCAAUUUGCUUUGCGACCGACGAUGCAGGGACAUUGAAGGUGCCAUGUAUGGUGCGUGUCAGCCCCGACUCCUAGGGUCGACAUGUUUAUGCUACGUUAGAUGCUGACCAUCAUAGCAUCUAUGUAUGAAUGAAGAUUGCACCACGUCCAACCUUCAUCUUAUGUAGGGAUACAACUCAGUACUACUCAUGCCACUGUUAUGUUUUACUAUCUGAAUAAAACCGGUGCGAUUACUAUUACAUGAUUAAGCUGCCAUGGGCAUGGCUCUUCUAUGACUACAUUUUACAAAAUUAAUUAUAAAAUAAAUAUUAACUUUAAUUAUAUUAAAUAAAUAUUAUUUUAAUAUUUCAAGGUUAGGAUUAUAAUAAACUAAUUAUCAUUCAUAAUUUAUCAUACAAAAUAUGAGAUAAAUUAAAGUAAAAAAAAUAUAUGGUAUGGGAAAAUUAAAACACGAUCUCAACACAAAAACUAUUUUUAGGACUAUACAAAGAAGAGUGAUAUCAUUUAUUUGAUUUCCAUAAAUUUAAUCAUUGGAUAUCGGGAAAACAAAAAAACUUUAAUCAAAAACUGUUUUCAUUGCGCACUAAUGAAUAUUUAGAGUGUGGAGGAAAAAAUGAUAAUUAAGAGAUAUUGAUAAUUACCGUAAUUUGUCUUUUCAGAAAUAUCGUUUCAAUAAGAAAAAUAUUCUUGUGAUAGGUCCUGUUCCUAGUAAAAAAUAUAGUGAAAUCAUAUUUCCUAUUCUUUCCCCGGACCAUGCUAGUAAUAAAAAUGUUCAUUUCUUAAAACAUCCUAUAUAUAUAGGCGGAAACAGGGGAAGGGGUCAGAUUUAUCCCGACGGGAACAAAAGUAAUAAUACUGUUUAUAAUGCAACGGCAACAAGUAUAGUAAGCAAAAUCAUACAAAAAGAAAAAAAUGGGGGUAUGAAAUAACAAUAAUGGAUGCCUUGGAUGGACAUCAAGUGGUUGAUAUUAUACCCCCAAGACUACAAUUUCUUGUUUCAGAGGGUGAAUGUAUCAAACUCGAUCAACUAUUAACAAUUAAUCUUAAUGUAGGUGGAUUUGGUUAGGGGAUACAGAAAUAGUACUUCAAGACCCACGUACUACACAUCCAAGGUCUUUUGUUCUUCUUGGCAUAUAUUGUUUUUGCACAAAUCUUCUUUGUUCUUAAAAAGAAACAGUUUGAGAAGGUUCAAGUGUACGAAAUAAAAUUCCAAAUCUGUGAAUUUAUCAACAUCAAGAGCAGUUAGGUUAGGUAUGAUGAAAAAAAGUAUGAAAAGCCUUUUGCUUGUUUAUAUUCUCUCUCUAGGAAUUGCUUUUACCGCAUUCAAAACAAAAUAUGUAUAUUAUGAAGAAUUAAUUCAAUGAACAAACUAUUCAUAAAAACAAAGCUUUCUAUCCUAUUCCAUAUAUUCUAUAGCUCCUUAUCGUGUUAAUUAUCAAUUAUUAGGUAUUGAUAUUCAUGAGCAAUAGAAAUUAAUAUUUAGGGAUAGAUAUUACCUUUCUUUUUCUUAUUUCAAAUAAAUUGAAAUGAUUGAAGUUUUUCUAUUUGGAAUCGUCUUAGGUCUAAUGCCUAUUACUUUGGCUAGAUUAUCUGUAACCGCAUAUUUACAAUAUAGACGUGGUGAUCAGUUGGACCUUUGAUUAAUUAACAUACCUUUUUUUUAUUGAUCCCUUUAAUUCUUGAAUUUUUUUAAUUUCAAUUUAUUUAAUAAUUUAAUCCAAGAAGGUCAAAUUCGAAUUAAUGUUCAAUUUUUUUAUUGACCGAAAAAAUAAAAAAAAAUAAAAAAAUAGCAUUGAAAUAUAUUUUUAUUGACCAAUCAGAAUUGUCUCCCAAGAUCUAUAAUUGUCCCAAAAAGUCCAAUAUACAUACAUUAUUGGACCUUUUGAAUAGCAGUCGAGAAAACCUUAUGAAAAUUGAAUACUUUCGCAUAGAAGAUGUAAAAUAAAUAUUAGGGGCGGGUAGGGACCCCUAAAAUGGAAAGUUUUUCAUUUAGGCCCUUUAAAAUUUUUAAAAUUUUAAAUUAGUAAAAAUAAAAUUAUACUUUGGUUCCUCUAAAAAUGAUAAAAAUUUAAUUUAAUAUUUUAAGAAUUAUAAAUAUAUAGGUUAUUCAAAUGGUGAACUUGUAUUUUUAUUCUCGUAAAAAUUAUAAUUUAAUUUCGACCCCUAAAAAAUUUGUUUCAGUUAUUCCAAAAUAUGUUAGAUUAAAUGCGAGGUUCUAGAAGUUAUUUUGAUAUGAAUGAAUUAAGUUUUUAAAUGACAUUUAAUUUGCAAUAUAAAGGAAAUGAUUGCAACGAGUUAAAUAGGUUUAUAUUCUCAAAAUAAAGUUUGUAUUAAAAAAAUUAUUCGAUACAUCAGUCUAGUUUUAAAUUUUAUAAAUAGGUUAAGAGAUUGAUAGAUACACCAAUAAUUUGUUUCAAUGUCCAGUGGCAACAUCAUGGCUUGAAAAUAUUUCUUACAAGGGGUUGGACACUGCUUUUCACUUGUGUAAUACACUUUAAUUAAUUUAUAUAAAUCAAUAUUAUUAUUUUAUUAAUAAAAUCAUAGUUUAAUAUAUUUUUAAUAAUUUCAUAAAAAUGAAAUAAUUUAAAACUUUUAUAAUGUCUUUUUUUAGUCUAGUUAUUUUCAUUCUUAUCUCAAUGGUAUAGUUACUUUUGAAUCAGAAUAAAUAUCUCAUUAUUAUUUUUUAAAUCACUACUGCAAUAGUUUUAAUUCAACUAGAAAAGGAAGCUUAGAAUGCAUUUAUUGCAUAGAAAAUGAAUUUCAAAUGUAAAAUAAAUCAAUAAGCAGCAUUAAUUUAAAAUGUUAUAUUUUUCUUAUCUACGUAAAUACAGUCAAUUUGCAGAACUAAAAUUACGCCACAAUUAGAUUAUUCAUCUAAUACAAUCAAAUUGUCCACGAACACAAACAGUUCAAUUGAGUAAUUACAUGAACUGAUUUUCUAAAAGGAACCACAUCAAUAGACGCUUCUCAAGCUUUCCGAAGUCUGCUCUCAUCAAUUUUCAGAGCAUCAUCUUCAUCACUAGCCUCUCCCUCUCCAUCGUUUUUACUAACGCUUUCAUCAUCUUCUUCUCUAUCUUUCGGUCAGUCCAUUUGGUCGGAUUGGGGCGAUCAAAUAAAGAAGACUAGGCUACGGUAAGGGCCUAAGGGGUAUCCAAUGGAUAGGAAAUGAAACUCGUUGAAAAGAAAAAUUAUACUCUGGGCUUACUCGAAUGCCUUCAUUUCCAUUUGGGUGGGUCUCUUUUGUCUUUAAUGCUCGACAAGCCCACCCCUUUCCUCAUUUCAAGCGGUUCCGAAAGAGACCCCAUGUCUGACAACAGUCCCAAGUUUACUUAGACAUGUAUAAAUGAUGUUACUUGCUUCACAGCUUUCUUUCUUUGUUGUUUUGUUCUAAAGGUGAAUAACCUGAUCGGUGGAGAAAUUCAUCAUCAUCAUCAUCCUCACAUUCAUUCAUCUCAUUAGUUACUCUACAAAUAAAUACCACCCUCCAUUCCUCUACACUCCCACUUUCAUAUAUCACAAAAAUCAACUGAAAUGGCUAAGUUAUUGGGUCCUCUUCCAAACUAUACCUUCCUUUUCCUAUCUUUCCUCCUCCUGGUUUACUCCGGUAAUUAAGCACCAUCUCAUUUUAUAAUCGUCCGAUACUUAGAAAUCUAUACUUAUUGAAUAUAAUUUGAUCUAAUGCUAAGAUAUGUUUGGUUAAACUUUAACGUUUUUGUGGAACAACAACAGG